UACGUAGGUGGCAAGCGUUGUCCGGAAUUACUGGGUGUAAAGCGCGUGUAGGCGGGAGGCCAAGUCUGCUGUGAAAUCGCCCGGCUCAACUGGGCGGGGUCGGUGGAAACUGGUCACCUGGAGGACGGUAGAGGCGAGUGGAAUUCCCGGUGUAGUGGUGAAAUGCGUAGAGAUCGGGAGGAACACCAGUGGCGAAGGCGGCUCGCUGGGCCGGACCUGACGCUGAGACGCGAAAGCGUGGGGAGCGAACAGG
rnacentral:rRNA from 1 species